AGCAGCCGCGGUAAUUCCAGCUCCAAUAGCGUAUAUUAAAGUUGUUGCAGUUAAAAAGCUCGUAGUUGAAUUUCGGGAUCAAUAUGUCGGUCGUGCCUUCGGUACGUACUGGCAUCAUUGGUUUCUCCCUUCUGACAAACCAUGAUGUCAUUAAUUUGGUGUUAUGGGGAGUUAGGACUGUUACUUUGAAAAAAUUAGAGUGUUUAAAGCAGGCAUUAGCUUGAAUACAUUAGCAUGGAAUAAUGAAAUAGGACGUUUGACCCUAUUUUGUUGGUUUCUAGGAUCGACGUAAUGAUUAAUAGGGAUAGUUGGGGGCAUUAGUAUUCAAUUGUCAGAGGUGAAAUUCUUGGAUUUAUUGAAGACUAACUACUGCGAAAGCAUUUGCCAAGGAUGUUUUCAUUAAUCAAGAACGAAAGUUAGGGGAUCGAAGACGAUCAGAUACCGUCGUAGUCUUAACCAUAAACUAUGCCGACUAGGGAUCGGAUGAUGUUAAUUUAAUGACUCA
rnacentral:rRNA from 1 species